rnacentral:misc_RNA from 1 species
AAGUCGUAACAAGGUCUCCGUAGGUGAACCUGCGGAGGGAUCAUCAAAGGAAAUUUCACCCAUAUAUAUAUAUAUACCUUUUUGCGGCAUAUAUAUACAAACAAACGAUCGCAACUAUUGUCAAUGGUUUUUUGGGGGGAGAGAGAAAGUGCUUGCCUGAUAAAAAAACAUUGGGUUGGAAAAAAAGAAAUACAACUUUCAACAACGGAUCUCUUGGCUCUCACAUCGA